rnacentral:rRNA from 1 species
GGUGUUGCAUGGCUGUCGUCAGCUCGUGCCGUGAGGUGUUAGGUUGAGUCCUGUAACGAGCGCAACCCCUGCCGUUAGUUACAUGUGUCUAACGGGACUGCCCGGCUCAACUGGGAGGAAGGUGGGGACGACGUCAAGUCAGCAUGGCCUUUAUAUCCUGGGCUACACACACGCUACAAUGGUCGGUACAAUGGGUCGCCAAGCCGCGAGGCGGAGCCAAUCCUCCAAAACCGGCCUCAGUUCAGAUUGUAGGCUGCAACUCGCCUGCAUGAAGUUGGAGUUGCUAGUAACCGCGCGUCAGCUAUAGUGCGGUGAAUACGUUCCCGGGGCUU